GCCUGAUUCAUUGACUUAAUAGCAGCAUUCUCCCUUAGAAAAAGGCAAGUACCUCCCUUUUUUUGGCAGUCAGUCUAGAGCUCAUUGGUUUGGGAGAACCACCUGAGCCAGUGAGGUGACCUGCCUCUGGAGGGAGGAGAGUGACUUCGCCGUAGCAUCGAGAGCCGCUUGAAGCUUUUUGUGAAGGCCAUCUUUAGUCCAGAUAGAGUGCCCUAUAGCUCCUCCUGAGACUCCAGCCACUGCUACAGUUGAAGCUACAGAGAGUCCUAUCAAAAUUGGCAGAAAGGCUGCACACUUGCUGCGUGGGGAAUUAGGGUGAGGGAGUAAGAGCUCAAACUCUGCGGUGCAACAUAAAUUAUCAACGGGCACAACAUCUUUGUUUGUAUGUGGUGCUGAGGAUCGAACCUGGGCCGCACGCAUGCCAGGCCUGCUGGAAUACGAGUGGUGAAAUGAUCUUGGUUUGUGAUGCCAUUACUGGUGUUGUAGUCCCAGAGGGGAUCUUGGUCUGGGACUGCUUAGGGCCCAGUGGGAUGUGCCGGAUUGGUCUGAUGGAUCUCGUCUGCAGGAGUGCAAGCCUGUUCUCUGCUCCUCAGGAAGUAAAGUAUCGGAGAGGAUCAUAUAGACAUCAUGGAAGGUGGGCAAAGAGGUUUGCCAAACCAUCUACGUUCAAAUCCUCCCGACACCACCAUUGGGUUUAGGACUCCAGGAAGGGGAAACUCACCAAUCGAAGGCUGGUGGUACUUGUAGUUCUGGCGGUCGAGAAAAUGGGUUCAGGUCAUCCAGUGAGGGGCUUCCAAAGGAAGAGGGACCCAAAAGUGGGUUUUAAUCCUCUUCCUGGGUUUUGGCACCAGAUGAAAGGAAAGUGACCACGACACUCAGAGCGACCAAGUAAUCUUUAUUACAGCAGUGAGAAAGAGGAGAAAGGAGAGAGAGAGAGAGAGAGAGAGAGAGAGAAAGCCCGGCAGGAGAAGGGUUUUAUAGUCCUUCUGCUGUGCUGCCUAAAUCUAAUAGGGUCUCUAGGUUUGCAAGCUGCCUUGUUGGCAUAAGGGGGGUUAAGUGUUCAGCCUUGGGUGGGGGAAUUGAGUGUUCAGCCUUAAGCAGGGGGCACUGAGUGUUCAGCCAUGAGCAGGGAUUGAGUGUUCAUCCUUGUGGGGGGUGGUGAUGAGCACUUGAGGCAAACAGGUGAUAAAGAACCAGACAGAGGGGGUUGAGUGCGUGGGUUAUCCUGCAGCUAUCAUUCGUUCAGCCUGGCCUGCAAACAAUGUUCAGCCUGCCCUAACAUGGACUUUGGCCUAACAUGGACUUUUGCCCUUUCCCAUUUCCUGGAAGAGAAAAGCAAAUAGUGAAGCUCUAGGUAACAAAGGGUCCCAGAGGAAGGAAGAUAAGCAGUGAACACCGAGUUCUGAGCUUUUCCCAGUGACAAUGAGUUUCAAACUUCUUACAACUGCCUUCCUGAGUUUAACCUGCACAACUAGGUCCCUGACUGUUUGAACAGCACGUCUGCAGUCUCUAAUGAUUAAUUCACCCUCACUGUAAACUAUAAAACUCAGACUCCUUCUGUAACCCGGGGGCCAUUUCCUUAACCAGAAAAUAAGCCCUCCUGUGCCUGACUGAUUCACUCUGCUGCAGGAUAAAGGAGAGCUUACUGAUCCACUUGAGGGCUGCUUAACGUCCUGGUUAUUUGUAUUUUCAUUAUUUUUGCUUACACCAUUAAGAAUUUUGUGCAGCAGAUUAAAACCAUUGCUAAGGUAGUGACGCCAAGCAAAGAGAGGGAGGGAGACCCUAAUUCACUGGCACCCACAGCUAGAGAAGCCUGAUGCUUCAGAGGGAGUGAGGCUCUUCCCCAAGCAUGAGUAUCUGCCCAGGCCCCAGAGGCACUGCAGCAGGGAGGCUGUGAGGAGCUGACCAAGAAACAGCUGAGGAACACCCACGGAAACAGACCAGAAAACUGCUUCACAGAGCAUUCAGAUAACAGAGUUCCCCUGUGCCAGCCAGAAGUUGGAAGGAGUUGAAUCAUCCAUCCUGGUCUCCUGACAGAUCUCUCUAGAAGGAAUGGUAUUGAAAUAGAGCUCUGAUUUUGAGCAGUCAGUGCAAGAAAUACGGGACUUAUAUAAACUUGUUAAACCCUAAAGUGAAUUCCCUCUUUACUCCAAAGCACCAGGCUCCUUCCUCUGUUGUUGGGUGUGAUCCACUGGAUUCUGAACAGUUGUGUUUGCAUUUGUCUCUUCUGAGAGACCGAGAGAUGCUAGAAAACUCAGUUUUCUUCAUCCCCAACACAUAGUUCAGCCCCAGGCAAGAAACAGGAUCUCAAUAAAUGACUAUUUGUAGGAAUAAAAGAACUGAUGAAAAUAGGUCAACAA